UACGGGGGGAGCAAGCGUUGUUCGGAUUUACUGGGCGUAAAGGGCGCGUAGGCGGCGUAACAAGUCACUUGUGAAAUCUCCGGGCUUAACCCGGAGCGGCCAAGUGAUACUGUUGUGCUAGAGUGCGGAAGGGGCUACUGGAAUUCUCGGUGUAGCGGUGAAAUGCGUAGAUAUAGGAAGGAACACCAGUGGCGAAGGCGACCACCUGGACUGAUACUGACACUGAGGUGCGAAAGCGUGGGGAGCAAACAGG
rnacentral:rRNA from 1 species